GGCGGCGUAGCCAAGUGGUAAGGCUUCAGUCUGCAAAACUGACACCGGCGGUUCAAUUCCGCCCGCCGCCU
rnacentral:tRNA from 1 species